UACGUAGGGUGCGAGCGUUGUCCGGAAUUACUGGGCGUAAAGAGCUCGUAGGUGGUUUGUCGCGUUGUUCGUGAAAACUCACAGCUUAACUGUGGGCGUGCGGGCGAUACGGGCAGACUGGAGUACUGCGGGGAGACUGGAAUUCCUGGUGUAGCGGUGGAAUGCGCAGAUAUCAGGAGGAACACCGGUGGCGAAGGCGGGUCUCUGGGCAGUAACUGACGCUGAGGAGCGAAAGCGUGGGGAGCGAACAGG
rnacentral:rRNA from 1 species